rnacentral:lncRNA from 1 species
CUUGCACCAUUUUAACCUACCAGUGCCUCUGAUCUUCAGACAGCUUUGUGGAGCAUUUAGCAAAGCUGCAAAAAUUUGUUUUACAGGGGAAAAAACCUGGGCAUUGUGCCAGCUCCAAACCCACAUUCCGUGAAGGAAGACCUCUAGCGAAUACUUGACAAUGAAGGGCAAAAGUGAUGCACAGUUUUCCUCUGAGCUGUCUGAGGAGGAAGACAAUAUGUAUGAGACUGUAAGUUCUCCAGUGCUGGAGGCCAUGCAUUCUUUGAGAAUCCUUCCUGCCAAACCUCUGCAAGAAUCUGAAUAUGCAGACACACGUUGGUUAAGGCCUUCAGGUACCACUUCCCCAAUGAGCGAGAACCCAUCUCAGCCCCUUCAACACUCGGCCGUAAGUCAAGAUACUAAUCCUUACUCAUAA